rnacentral:rRNA from 1 species
GUCAAAUCAUCAUGCCCCUUAUGUCCUGGGCUACACACGUGCUACAAUGGCCUGAACAACGGGCAUGCUAAGGAGCGAUCCGGAGCAAAUCCCUUAAAUCAGGUCCCAGUUCGGAUUGCAGGCUGCAACUCGCCUGCAUGAAGUCGGAGUUGCUAGUAAUCGCGGAUCAGAAUGCCGCGGUGAAUGCGUUCCCGGGCCUU